rnacentral:misc_RNA from 1 species
GAUGAAGAACGUAGCGAAAUGCGAUAAGUAAUGUGAAUUUCAGAAUUCAGUGAAUCAUCGAAUCUUUGAACGCACCUUGCGCCCUUUGGACAUUCCGAAGGGCAUGCCUGUUUGAGUAUCAUGAGCACCUCAACUCUCACGGCUUGUCCGUGAUGAGCUUGGACUUUGGGGGUCUUGCCGGCCUGUGGUCGGCUCCUCUCAAAUGGAUCAGCUUGCCAGUGUUUGGUGGCAUCACAGGUGUGAUAACUAUCUGCGCUUGUGGUUUUCCAUCAGAUAACCUUCAGUGAUAUGGAGGUUCGCUGGAGCUCACAAAUGUCUCUCCUUAGUGAGGACAGCUCUUUGAACGUUUGAUCUCAAAUCAGGUAGGACUACCCGCUGAACUUAAGCAUAUCAAUAAGCGGAGGA